CCUCCAUCCUGCAAACAUCCACUGAACAUGUAUUAUGUGCUGGCAUAUUAUGUUGGGCACUAGGAACUCAAAGAUGAGUAAGAAAUCAUCUUUCUCUCAAUUAAUCAACACUCUGUAAAGAAGGGCUUAUUAAGAGCCUGUGGGGAAGACAGACAAUGAAAGAAGACAGGCAUGCAAUCAUACUUGUCAGAGUGGAAUAGGAGCUCCAACGGAGGGCUGGUCUAUUCCAAAGGCAGUAGAAUGAAAAGAAGACAUUUGGACAACUCUGUCCUAUCAACACCGCUCAGAAGAUCACAAAAGCAUGAGGUAUUACAGGGGAGAGAAACCUUUAACAGACAAAAUUUAACUCAACUCAUUUACAGAUGAAGAAACUGGAGCCCACGCAAGGAAGGUGAUAUCCUAAGGUCAACCAGGUCAUCCUGUUCCAUUCAAACAUUCAUUAAGUGCC